rnacentral:lncRNA from 1 species
AUCCAUUAAAGAAUAAAAUCCAUCAAAUCCAUCUAUUAUCAUAUUUUUAGUGGAUGGAUAUCCAUCAAUUCAUUUUUUUUUCUUUGAAAAAAUCACUUAUUUUUUUGAAACUUUUUUUUUUCAAAAUUCUUUUUUUCUUAAUAAAAUAUUAUCAAUUUUUUUUUGAGAAAAAUUAUUUAUUUUCAAAAAAAAUAUAUUUUUG